GGAAGAAACCACCAACAAGAUAAGUCUAGCUCUGGAAAUUCCUGAAGAAGUGACAACGAGUAAAUCUGAAUCAUCCCAAGACUGCAGAACUCAGCCCUGCCAGAAUGGUUGGAACCAUGUGCGCAGAUCAACGAGUCGUUCAGCUGCAACUGUGCCGCUGGUUUCAAGGGCAGACGGUGUGAGCUAUAUUGUCAGCGAGUACCUCACCCAUGUACUCGCCUUUACUCUGAAACAAAGAGUGUGCCUGUGUGGGAGGAUGGUGUCUGCCAUUAUUUGUAAGUUUCUGCUGUCUGUAUAUGUCUAUUGUC